rnacentral:rRNA from 1 species
GCCAGACUCCUACGGGAGGCAGCAGUGGGGAAUAUUGCACCAUGGGCGCAAGCCUGCUGCAGCCAUGCCGCUUGUAUGACGCCGGCCUUCGGGUUUUCCCGUACUUUCAGCUUUGAGGAAGGUGUUGCGGUUAAUCCCCUCCGCAAUUGCCUUUCCCCGCAGACGCCGCCCCGGCUACCUCCUUGCCAGCAUCCUCGGUAAUACGUCGGUUUCAAGCGUUAAUCGGAAUUACUGGGCGUAAAGCGCACGCAGGCGGUCGGUCAAGUCGGAGGUGAAAUCCCCGGGCGCAACCUGGGAACUGCAUUCGAAACUGGCAGGCUUGAGUCUCGUAGAGGGGGGUAGAAUUCCAGGUGUAGCGGUGAAAUGCGUAGAGAUCGGGAGGAAUACCGGUGGCGAAGGCGGCCCCCUGGACGAAGACUGACGCUCAGGUGCGAAAGCGUGGGGAGCAAACAGGAUUAGAUACCCCCGUAU